AUUGAACGCUGGCGGCAGGCCUAACACAUGCAAGUCGAGCGGAAACGAUCCUAGCUUGCUAGGAGGCGUCGAGCGGCGGACGGGUGAGUAACGCGUGAGAAUCUACCCAUGAGUGGGGGACAACCCGGGGAAACUCGGGCUAAUACCGCAUACGCCCUACGGGGUAAAGCAGGGGACCUUCGGGCCUUGCGCUGAUGGAUGAGCUCGCGUCGGAUUAGCUUGUUGGUGAGGUAAAGGCUCACCAAGGCGACGAUCCGUAGCUGGUCUGAGAGGAUGAUCAGCCACACCGGGACUGGGACACGGCCCGGACUCCUACGGGAGGCAGCAGUGGGGAAUCUUGGACAAUGGGGGCAACCCUGAUCCAGCCAUGCCGCGUGUGUGAAGAAGGCCUUCGGGUUGUAAAGCACUUUCAGCAGGGAGGAAGGCUUACCCCUAAUACGGGUGAGUACUUGACGUUACCUGCAGAAGAAGCACCGGCUAAUUUCGUG
rnacentral:rRNA from 1 species